AGCAUGUGCACACUUUUUCAUCUUCAAAUUCUACACCUGUGCACUUAUUGUAGGCUGAGAAAUCAGUCUAUGUAUUUUUAUUACACCCCUUAUAAAAAGUUUCGAAUGUCAUAUAUAUGGAUGCGCCUUAAAAAAGCGAGUCCUUUAAACCUAUACAACUUUCAACAACGGAUCUCUUGGCUCUCGCAUCGAUGAAGAACGCAGCGAAAUGCGAUAAGUAAUGUGAAUUGCAGAAUUCAGUGAAUCAUCGAAUCUUUGAACGCACCUUGCGCCUCUUGGUAUUCCGAGAGGCAUGCCUGUUUGAGUGUCAUUAAAUUAUCAACUUUUCAAGGUUUUUCUGAAAGACCUUUGUCAAGCUUGGACUUGGAGUGUGCCGGCCCCAUCAUUGGAGUCGGCUCCUCUUUAAAUGCAUUAGCGACACCUUUUAUGUGGAUCAGCUCUGGCGUGAUAAUUAUCUAUGUCGU
rnacentral:rRNA from 1 species